rnacentral:tRNA from 1 species
GACUUUUUAACUAUUAAUAAGUAUAUAUUUUGAAAAUAUAAAAAAGAAUUUUUUCUAAAAGUCUU